rnacentral:rRNA from 1 species
GACGAACGCUGGCGGCGUGCUUAACACAUGCAAGUCGAACGGUGAAGCGCCUUCCUUUUUGGUGGGUGUGGAUGAGUGGCGAACGGGGGAGUAACACGUGAGUAACCUGCCCCCUUCUUCUGGAUAACCGCAUGAAAGUGUUGCUAAUACGGGAUAUUCUGGGUCUGUCGCAUGAUGGGUCUGGGAAAGAUAUUGUUUCGGUGGGGGAUGGGCUCGCGGCCCUUCAGCUUGUUGGUGGGGUGAUGGCCUACCAAGGCGGUGACGGGUAGCCGGCCUGGGAGGGUGGACGGUCACACUGGGACUGAGACACGGCCCAGACUCCUACGGGAGGCAGCAGUGGGGAAUAUUGCACAAUGGGCGAAAGCCUGAUGCAGCGACGCCGCGUGAGGGAUGGAGGCCUUCGGGUUGUGAACCUCUUUCGCCAGUGAAGCAGGCCUGCCUCGUUUGUGGGUGGGUUGACGGUAGCUGGAUAAGAAGCGCCGGCUAACUACGUG